GCCGCUGCUGCCGCUCCUGCUCUGACUGCGCCCGCUGCGAGACCGGGGCCUCGCCGGGGCUCGCUGCUGCUUGAGCCGCUCAUCCCACAACUGCCGCAGCACAGGAGAUCCUGAGUGGGAAUGGAUACACAAGGACCACCAAGUCGAACCCUUAUGUGAAUGGCUCCUCUGGCGAUUGAACCCACACCUAGGCACUCUCAGCACCCUGCUCCAGCCAAGCCAAUCUCAGCUCCUGGCAAUGUCCUGCCUGGGAUAGGAACACCAAGUGCCAGCAAGGCCAUUCCUAUUCAAAUACAGCUCCUUCUUUUAUGCUAAUGCUGCUUUCCACACCAGCCCCUGCAAUGGCCACAGGGCAGAGCUCCAUGGCCAGCACCUGAUCAUGCAACAACACAGGUGAGCAGUUGUGUGACAGCACUGAACUCUUCCCCUAACCCUGAUUUCCUGCCCUUUCCAGGAUUUACCCAACAGCUGUAAAGGUGCUCGUUCCAUGGCCCUUUCCAGGGAGAAAUGAGCAAGGCAAGUCCUGAAGGUUCACUUGGUCCACGGCCAAAGCUCUUCUGGAGAGUGUCAGGGCUGCUCCUGCCUGCAGAGGGGCCUUUCCCACAGGUGCCCUGGGGAUGCCAGGGAGGUGCCUUUGCCCACAGUGCCUUUCUCCUGCCCCUCUCCAGCCCGAGGCCUCUUCUCCCUUCCCUGCCAGCUGCUGCCAAAGAAGGAGGACACAUUCCCCACUGAGAAGAACACAACCUCACAGCUGUUAAGGCCUGACAGUUCCCUGCAGGGAGAGCUCAGCACAUGUGCCCAGAGGCAAUCCCAGCAUCUGAAAGAAAGAAAGAAGCAGCAAAAGGUGAUUGCUUCUCUUUCAAAGUUAUUUCAAGUGCUCACACCCAAACCCACCUUUGCUCUUGAUUCUGGCCAGGUGCAUGGUGAGCAGUAGGCACAGGUCAUGUCAUCCAUGCUGGUGUGAGUGAUGCUUUCUGGGGGAAAGCAGCUGAUCUCCAAAGUUCCCUUCCUGCCCCGUGCCUGAUCUGCACAGGAGAAAACCUCUUCCAGGAAGGGAUUGUGCUCCCUCUAAUCCCAUUUGCCCAGUCUGUGCCAUGGGGAUAUUGCCAGCCUGGGGCAGCAGAGGCAUACGCAGCUCUCAGCACUCUCUGCUCCAAGCACAGCUCUGGGCUCCUUUGCAGACUGCCUCUGCUGUGGGGUUUUCUCCAGGAGAAGCCAAGGAAUUGCUCAUGGAAGGGUGGAGAUUAAGUUAUCCCAAAGGGAAGCAAAGAGUUAAGUACUCCAGGAAGAGCCCUUGGCAUCUGCUGGGCUGAGGUGGGAAGGGGACAUUCAUUCCCUGCAGAGCCAAUACACAACAACCUCCAACCCAAAGCACAGACUGGCAGGUGGGGUCUGACAGCACCACUCUGACAAACCUCCUUGUCAUUCUUCCCUGCAGUGACUUUUGCAAGCAAACUCUGAAGCUGACAAGCCCAGAAGCUCCAUCCAUCCACUCUGGAAGGAAAGGAUACUCCCAGGGAUGAGGCACAUUCCCAGCAAACUCUCCCAACACAGCCUGGAGGCAGCGCUGGAGCUCGGCUGUGGGGCUGGGAAGGGCUGCCAGGAGCACGCAGCCCCCAGGUGGGGUGGCAGCGGCAGCAGCAAAUUCCCACAGGCUGAUGGCACAACAGAGAGACAAAGGCCAGCAGUGCCCAUGGGAGGUGCAGGGUUAAUUCUGCUCCCUGCCCUGCCCCAUCCCCGCAGGAAAUCUCCAAGGGGGAGAGAAACUCUCAGGGUGCCCAAAAUGCAGCAUCUGUCACCCUGAUCCCGCUUCAACUCAGCGUGGGGGGCCAAACUCCCCCCACAGGUAAACACUGAGCUGACCUGGUCAGUCUCAAACACAGCCCCAGUUCUCACCUCCAGCCUGCUCCUGGGGCUGCUGCCACAUUCCUGACAAGGAGCCCCUGUGGACAGGGCUCUCUCUGUGUCUCAGGUGCUGGGCACUGCAGGGACCAGGGCAGCCCCCUCUGGGGACAAUUGGGGAUUCAUCCCACACCACAGGCAGGACCAGGGGCCCUCCAGUACAGGCUGGUGGGGCCAGAGCCCAUUGGGUUUGGCUGCUCAAAUACCAAAGCUUUUGGCAAAGAUGGGACAAGUUAAGUGGGUUUUCCUGUCCUGAGAGAGAGAAGAAAUUGUUGAAAUUAAGCAUGGAAAUUAAGUCCACUGUGGAAGUCAAAGGCUCCUGGCUUUCCCACUCCUGUUCUGAUUGCUCACUAGAGGGUUUUAUCCAUAAAAAAAUGAGAGGUGGCACCAAAUAAAAGAGCUCUUUUUCAA